CUGAUUGGACUGUCUAAUCUCAUUCAUGUGUGUUUCUCUGAUCGGACGGUCUAAACUUAUUCAUGUGUUUGCUCUGAUUGACUGUCUAAUCUCUCCACGUGUGUUUGCUCUGAUUGGACUGUCUAAUCUCAUUCAUGUGUGUUUCUCUGAUCGGACGGUCUAAACUUAUUCAUGUGUUUGCUCUGAUUGACUGUCUAAUCUCUCCACGUGUGUUUGCUCUGAUUGGACUGUCUAAUCUCAUUCAUAGUUUCCACUCACCCGCUUGAAAUCUGCCAGGAAGGUGAUGAGAGUGCCGUCUGUGUGCCUGAACUCUACACUGAUGAUGUCCCGCUCGCUGUCCGACUCUAAAGUCUCUGCGGUGAUCUGACCAUCGUUUAACCGCACCAGCACUUUCAGCUCUGAACACACGCUCACCGUCAACAAGAGAAGGAGAAGAAGCAAACUGAUCCUGAGUGAAGCUGCUAAAACACGACUCGGGGGAUGAAACCAGAGAACCCAGAGGAAAAGAAGCACGUAUAGAGGACAAGGACAGAGACAGGAAUGAAACCCCCAGCCCUGGAGCCGUGAGGGAAAUGUGGCAACCGCUAAAGACAUGGUGAUGACUCGAGCACAUACGUUUCGGCAGCCUGUGAAGUUCUUCGGGAUCCUUUUUCCUCUGCAAUGACCUCGUGUAGUGUUUCAGACCAACCAAGGGGUCUUGAGCUGCUUUUUAUGGUAGACGAUAAUCAUUUAAACAAGGUACUGUGUUUGGGAGGAGAUCAGCAAAAGAAAUAUGUUAGCAAAAUAUAUUUGGAUAUAAAUAGGCAAUUCUAAUUAAUUAACAGCGGUUAAACGCAGUUGUGAUGCUAUUCUUGAUAUGUCCUUUAAAGAUAUCUGAAAAAGGUUGUAAUAAAAUAAUGUAAUAAAGUGAUGAUUAUUACCUACUUGAGGUAUUUUAAGAA